GACGAACGCUGGCGGCGUGCUUAACACAUGCAAGUCGAACGGUGAACCUCUUCGGAGGGGUUCAGUGGCGAACGGGUGGGUAACACGUGGGCAACCUGCCCCCGGCUCUGGGAUAACUCCAAGAAAUUGGGGCUAAUACUGGAUGUUCACCGCUUCCCGCGUGGGUGGUGGUGCAAAGGGUUUCCGGCUGGGGAUGGGUCCGCGGCCGAUCAGCUUGUUUGUGGGGUAGUGGCCUUCCAAGGCCACGACGGGUAGCCGGCCUGGGAGGGGGACCGGCCACACUGGGACUGAGGGACGGCCCAGAGUGCUACGGGGGGCAGCAGUGGAGAAUCUUGCGCAAUGGGCGGGAGUCUGACGCGGCGACGCCGCGUGGGGGAUGACGGCCUUCGGGUUGUAAACCUCUUUAAGCAGGGACGAUGCGGAAGUGACGGUACCUGCAGAAGAAGCACCGGCCAACUACGUG
rnacentral:rRNA from 1 species